GUAGUCGGAUCCGCAUCAAUCUACAUGUGUUGGAGUGGAUUGGAGUAGAAAUUGAAUUAAAUUUCACCUCAAUCCACUCCAACACAUGUGGAUUGAGGCGAAUCCGACA
rfam:Sorghum bicolor cultivar BTx623 chromosome 4, whole genome shotgun sequence.